CAGGAUGAACGCUGGCGGCGUGCUUAACACAUGCAAGUCGAACGAGGAAUUGCGAAAGAAGUUUCGGAUGGAUUUGCUUUCCGAGUGGCGGACGGGUGAGUAACGCGUGGGUAACCUGCCUUACACUGGGGGACAACAGAGAGAAAUUUCUGCUAAUACCGCAUAACCCGCUAUGAGCGCAUGCUCAAGACGGAAAAGAUUUAUCGGUGUAAGAUGGACCCGCGUCUGAUUAGCUGGUUGGUGAGGUAACGGCCCACCAAGGCGACGAUCAGUAGCCGAACUGAGAGGUUGACCGGCCACAUUGGGACUGAGACACGGCCCAGACUCCUACGGGAGGCAGCAGUGGGGAAUAUUGCACAAUGGGGGGAACCCUGAUGCAGCAACGCCGCGUGAGUGAGGAAGUAUUUCGGUAUGUAAAGCUCUAUCAGCAGGGAAGGGAGUAAAGUUAAUACCUUUGCUCAUUGACGUUACCCGCAGAAGAAGCACCGGCUAACUCCGUGCCAGCCGCAGC
rnacentral:rRNA from 1 species